UACGGGGGGGGCAAGCGUUGUUCGGAAUUACUGGGCGUAAAGGGCGCGUAGGCGGCCUUCUAAGUCGAACGUGAAAUCCCCGGGCUCAACCCGGGAACUGCGUCCGAUACUGGAAGGCUUGAAUCCGGGAGAGGGAUGUGGAAUUCCAGGUGUAGCGGUGAAAUGCGUAGAUAUCUGGAGGAACACCGGUGGCGAAGGCGACAUCCUGGACCGGUAUUGACGCU
rnacentral:rRNA from 1 species